rnacentral:lncRNA from 1 species
AAAAGAUGUGAUGCUUUAACUCCGGGAAGUAACAGACAGCACAGACCUGACCAUAUCAGAAUAUCAACAUUACCUAUGAUUGUCAUAGGAUCACUUCAAAAAAGGGGCAACGAGACAGAUCAUAAUGUGAGAAGUGGAAACUCCUUAAGAACAAGGAAAAUCUUUAUAAUCCUGCUGAAGAAGCUCCCUGAAUAUCUGGAUCUAAGAAUGACCCGAAGGUUUACCAAGUUCCAGAUUAGAGUCCAUCCCUGAUCCUUACGCGUGCGUGGGUGCACUCAAAUCUCAUUUCUGCCCAGCUGUCUUAUUCCUGCUUAAUUUUCCUCAACUAAGACCUGUGCAGAAGGAAGAGUUAAGUCUGUCUUCAGAAGAUUCUGUCUGACUGAGGUGGGUGUUGUUCAUUGCUGCCUGCCUGCUUGAUGAAAAGUAGUACAUUGAGCUUCUAGAUAGAGUUAUAUAAAGGGAGAUCAAAUAAAGAAAGAAAAAACUCCCACUCAUAGAGGUAGAAAAUAUAUAGCCUUUUGCAAAAUGUACAAAGGAGAAUUCAUAGACUCAGGAGUGGUUUGGUGUUCCCAAAAUACACAGCAUUUCAUGUAAGAACUUAAGAAGAUGGAGGACUCCAUUAAAGCCAAGCCAUAAAAACAGAAGACUAAGUGAAUUUGUCUUGUAAUUUGUUUUAUUAUCUCAGAAUUUAUAGAAAGCAGUUCUCCCUAAUGCACAAAUCUUUUUUAGUUUUGUUCUCUUCCUUUUUUC